AUCAACUUUCGAUGGUAGGAUAGAGGCCUACCAUGGUGGUAACGGGUAACGGGGUGUUAGGGCACGACACCGGAGAGGGAGCCUGAGAAACGGCUACCACAUCCAAGGAUGGCAGCAGGCGCGCAAAUUACCCAAUCCCGACACGGGGAGGUAGUGACAAUAAAUAACAAUACGGGGUUCUUUCGGAUCUCGUAAUUGGAAUGAGUACAAUUUAAAUCUCUUAACGAGGAACAAUUGGAGGGCAAGUCUGGUGCCAGCAGCCGCGGUAAUUCCAGCUCCAAUAGCGUAUAUUAAAGUUGUUGCAGUUAAAAAGCUCGUAGUUGAAUUUCGGGGUUAGUAGGCUGGUCAUGCCUCUGGUAUGUACUGGUCUCACUGAUUCCUCCUUCCUGAUGAACCGUAAUGCCAUUAAUUUGGUGUUGCGGGGAAUUUGGACUGUUACUUUGAAAAAAUUAGAGUGUUUAAAGCAAGCUAACGCUUGAAUACAUUAGCAUGGAAUAAUGAAAUAGGACGUUCGAUCCUAUUUUGUUGGUUUCUAGGAUUGACGUAAUGAUUAAUAGGGAUAGUUGGGGGCAUUAGUAUUCAAUUGUCAGAGGUGAAAUUCUUGGAUUUAUUGAAGACUAACUACUGCGAAAGCAUUUGCCAAGGAUGUUUUCAUUAAUCAAGAACGAAAGUUAGGGGAUCGAAGACGAUCAGAUACCGUCGUAGUCUUAACCAUAAACUAUGCCGACUAGGGAUCGGAUGAUGUUAAUUUUUUAAUGACUCAUUCGGCGCCUUACGGGAAACCAAAGUGUUUGGGUUC
rnacentral:rRNA from 1 species